UACGAAGGGGGCUAGCGUUGUUCGGAAUUACUGGGCGUAAAGCGCGCGCAGGCGGCUAUCCAAGUCAGUGGUGAAAGCCCGGAGCUCAACUCCGGAACUGCCAUUGAAACUGUUUAGCUUGAGGACGAGAGAGGUGAGUGGAAUUCCCAGUGUAGAGGUGAAAUUCGUAGAUAUUCGGUGGAACACCGGUGGCGAAGGCGGCCACCUGGACGAUUACUGACGCUGAGACGCGAAAGCGUGGGGAGCAAACAGG
rnacentral:rRNA from 1 species